CAAGAUAUUUGUGGAGUGAUUGAAAAACUAGUUUUAAUGACUCCAACCUAAGUGUAUGUAAACUUCCGACUACAACUGUAUGUGUGUCCUUCCUUGUGUUGCAGGACUGGUGACCCUCUGUCAGGUCACCAUGGAGUUCCCACUCUGUCUGCUUGCUGUGUAUUUUCUUGUAUCUCACAUCCGCAACAUGAAAAAAUGUAUGCACUCACUAACUUGACGAGGAGAAAGAGAGGAGGCUCCCAAGGACAGAUCACUGGGUCCCUGACCAUGUCCUGGGGGGUGUGUUGGGAGUCUGUCCACUAGCAGGUACUGACCCUCAGCAUGACCCUUCAGGACCUGGGCCCGGUUUCCCAAAAGCAUCUUAAGGCUAAGGUUCUUCUUAGAAACUUAGCCUUAAGAUGCUUUUGGGAAACCGGGCCCUGGUCAGUCGGGCCUGGUGAGCAGAGCCAGGAGCUGCAGAUCAGCCAAUCCGUAGCGACCUUGACACCAGAAGACACCUAAGAUGACUAGAUGAAGCUCAUCCAAAGCACAAAGCUCAUAUUAUUUACCUAAAUACUUCAACAAUUAAUACUUACUUGAAUACUUAAACAAGCAAUGUAACUAUAUAGAAUGCAGCCAGAUGAAGAACCAUUAUUUUCUUUAUUUUGGUAGGCUUCUGGUUGUCUGUGUUUCGGCAGCUCAUUAAAACACAAUCCCAAAUACA